ACGUCUAACAUGGCGUCGCGAUGUCCUUUCUCCAUAUCCCUCACACACACACACAAAAUUUCUAAUCUCGCGACUAUUUCGAUUUUUCAGCUUCUAGUCGCUGCUUUCACCGCACUUUCUUAUUCGAGCAACUUAUGUUUUGAGCCGCAACCUGGCCAAGAGCCCACUCGCGUCGCGUCGCGUUGCGUUGCGUUUGUCAAAGAGAGCGACAAAAGCCAAAAUCUCACAGCGUCCCCACAGCGAAACCCAAACCAAAAUCAAGGACCAAAAACGUUGCCGCCAUCGAACCACGCACACACACACACUCGCACAGCGAAAGCAUUUCUAAAAGUUCGGCCAAAGAAAAUGGGUGAAAAAAGUACGUGGAACGUGGAAAAGUGAAGUGAGCAUCAAAGCGCACGGGACAGAAUAGUUUUCAACCCGACCGUCGUUGCACGGUGGGUUGUGUGCUAUGCUGUGCUGUGCUGCGCCCCACCCGGCACCCUCCCCACCCCAAAGGACACCAUACCCCAUCCCAACCACCCAGCCCCCGAAACCCAUUGAGCCACUGAACCACACGGCCAAAACAUUCUCUCCUCUGGCAACGGCUGCUGCGUCUAAAACCGAAAACAAUAAAAAGCUCCAAGUGGAGCUUGCCGAUUUAAAAGACGACCUUGGAAAUGCUCUUCCUAAACUUAAGUUAUAUAUUGUAAAAUAUUGAAACAGGGACUCAAAUUAUUUUGAAACUUUAAAAACUCCGUUUAAUGAAUACAACUUUUUGUUAUUAACAUGUUUCACGCAGUAAAUACUUUUUGAAAAUUAUGAAAAUCGUUUUAUAAAUUAGGUGAAAUAAUAAUAUUUUAAAAAUACUUGAAAAUUCUUUUAUUUUUAUAAAUAAUUUCGAUUUUAUAUGAGUUUUAUAUUUUCUAUCAAUAGAGGAAAUUUUAUUCAUGCUUUCCAUGAUGCCCCACAAAUAUAUAAAAACUGUAGAAAUACAAUUGCAAAACAUUUCCGGUUCCCCUUCAAAUAUUAAUAGAAUUUUCCCCUUUACCUAUACGACGCACAAUAAAACGUAAUGCCAAAUUUGCAACCCCGAGAGCGAUAAGAAAACCCACGCACAGCGAAAACCCUUCGAUGUGAUAAGAAACCCCUGGCUUAAGGUACGUGCACAACAGAUGGGAUUUUUGCAUUAAUAAAAUAUUUAUACAACUGAGCGUUGCCAAUGCGCCCAUCGAUUGCCAUAUGCCCGGCUCGACUAGACUCGACUCGGAAUCCUCCGGUGAAACCGGGGGGAAAAAAAGAGCCGUAGAAGAAUGCUGGCAAAGCACGCGUUGACACUUUGCGCUCAACACUCGCAUACGAACACACGGAAUCGGAAUAGCAUAUAUGCAGGACUCUCCUCUCCGGAGAAUUUGCUUCGGGCCCGUCAUCAACGAAUGUCCUGCAGCCCCAAAAGCAGCAUCAGCACCAGCACCAACAUCGUCCCAAAUUGGUGGAGUUGGUUAUUGUAAACAAAGGAUGUGCGAACUCUCUUUCGCUUUUUUUUAUUGCUUUUGCCUGUGCAUUUGGCUGAGAUGCUGCUGAGCGGAAGCUCCCGAUUCUCACUGCGCAGACUUGGGAAAAUCGAGAGGAAAGCUCGCGGAAAAUCCAGUGGCAACUGGUAGUCCGCCUAUCGAUUUGACUCACAGCGCCAGCGCCACAAUUUUGACAGCUGUCAACGCGCCGAAGGACACUUUGGGCACACCGACCAUCGAGCAUCGAGCAUGGAGCAUCGAAAGCCGCCUCCUUUCAGGAAGAAGGUAAACAAAUUGAAGCGCACACUGCAGGCACAAUCAUUUAUCAAAUGUCCAUCGGGCGAUAAGCAGGGGUUCCCCAGAGCUGGAACUGGAAUAAGACGAGACCAGGAGCCAAACGGCCAGGGCAAUUAAACAAUGUCAGAAAGCAUUUAGCCGGCAAAUGAAUGUCACCAGGCGGCCGAAGGAUGAGCUAAACUACAUGCGAAUUAAUGAGCUGGUCGUGUGGGUGCACUGAGAGAAAUCAAGGGUGUAAAAGUUCAGGGCAGUCAUAAAUCAGUCAUUUAAUAUGUUUAAAAUUAUAGUUUUCUAUGAUUUUAUUACAUUUGCAUAACUUUGCAUAGAAAACCAGUUUUUAUAUUAUUCACUUCUUUAAUUCUGUAAUUUCAUUACAUUUCAUAUUUAUUUGCUAACCUUUUUUCGCAGUGCACUGAGGUCAAUAUGGAGAAUCCGCUGCUUGCGCGAUCCCUUGCCCGCUGUCAGUAUGAAUUUUUGAUAAUUUAAUUAGAGUGCCGCUGCUCAGGAGAAAUGGACGGAUGGGCAGAUGGUUGACGGUUGAUGGUUCGGACCACUGGCAAUUGCUUGUAAAAAUGCGGCUGACCACGGCCCAGCCCCUUUUUUUUCGGCCCUCACGCACACCAGGCGUUACAAAGGGAAUUUUCAUAAUUAAGCAAUUACCCAUUUUUUCGGUAACAAUGUCGGCAUAAGUUUUCGUCCUUCGAGCCGCGUGGGCGUUGCGGUCACUUAGCUGACCGCUUCUCCAUUUGUUCUCGACUUCUCCUCCGUUGGGCGAAUGUCAUAACUGCUUUUGGGUCCCUUUCGGAUACCUUGGGCCAGCUAACGAAGACGAAUUGGUUUUUUAUUCAAAUUUAAUUUAUGCCCUGCCCUAUUCCUAUUUUCGGGGCCCAUUAAAAUCGCCAAAAACAAUUGAGACACGUGAUUUUUGCGGCCUCCAAUGUGUCUCCAUGUGCUGUGCGUGCCUGCCUCUCAUAACCAAGGCCAAAAUGGGCGGGGCUAAAAAAGAGGCGUGGCAGAGUGGCAGGCUGAUGUCAACUAAAUAUCAUCACCUAAACAGAUGGCCAAGAGCUGAUAGCCAUGCUGGCGACAUGGACACGGCGUUGGGGAUAUUUGUUAGGUGCAAAAAAUUAUGUUUCACUUGGUUCGGGGACAGGGCCACUUCGUCAUAACGACAUUGGGCAUUCAUAUCUGUUAACUGAUAGCGAUCUAGAAUAGCACAAGUGGGUGGGAGGAGCUAGACAGGAAAUUUGUGGGCUAAAAGGCUAAAAGGUUGGGGCAAUAUGUAUUUUAGUUUAUACAUUUGUAUCAAAACGAUUUGGGGGAGAACUUUGCUUAAGUAUAAGGUUGAUAAAUUAUCACAAUGUAAUAAUCUUGUUCAUAAAGCUCUUAAAUUAAAUAUCAAACUAAGGAUGGUUUUAAGUCCUUAGCUUUAUAAGUCAUAAGGAAGAGCCCCUUACUUAUCAAUAUUAGCCGACCGAUCCAUUUUAUACUUUAAUGUAAUUACUUACCAACUGCUCAUAAUGAUUUAAGAACCUUUAUGACUUCACUCUUCGUUAGUUAACACAAGUUUGCUUUAUUUAAAUUUUAGUUUGAUAAAGUAUUUGAAUAAUGCUCCACAUAAAUGGAUUCGAUACAGGCUACCUGUUAUAAAACCGGGCUAAUCUGAGCUGCUUAUCACGUUCCCACGCCACGAGAUCCACCUUCCGCCAGGUAGACAGCCACUUGUCCCUGUGAUUUCAUCAUUCGCGACAGAACUGGGGCCUCCAGAGUUGGGGUUACACAUGUGCAUGAGCACUGCGAAGAGUGGGUGGCUCCAUUGUAUAAUUACCAAGCUAAACAAUCAGUGCACAUUCAUGGCGCUGCUGUCGUCAUUGACAUAAUGCGACAAGGCGACCCAACGUCAUGGCUAGCUCGGUGAUAUCUCACAGAUAGUGACUACCGAUUCCAGAGCAGUCCAAAACCCCACCCCUCCCCGCCCCACCGGCGCAGAUAGAUAUUGUACAAAUAGGUGGACGUGUCGUACACUGGCCUGACAAGAUAACAAAAUUAGUGCCUUCUAAACAUUCCCCGCUCAAAUAUUGUGAUAAAAAUUUAUAGAGAGUGGUUGUGGGAGAGUGUAUAUACAUACAUAUAUAGUAAACCGACCGAGAUUUAUUGCCCCGCAAAUCUGUCAACGCACAGAGCCGUGGGGCAAACACGAAAAUAUUUGAGUUUGCCUUUUCGCCACAGAGACUGUGUCCUCCUCUUGUCAUUAUAUCUGGAUAUCAUCUGGGUAUCUGUUUUUAGGAGCACAUAUUUGCAUAGUGCCAGAACAGUAGCGAUAAAAUGUUAACUCGCCGAUUAGCGUUGCAGCCACGGGUAGCGGCAAUGUAUCUGUCUAUGUAUCUGAGAAGAAACCAAGUAUCCGGCUAUUCGAGUAACUGCGUCCCAGAGUAUCUGUAAGUGGGCAAACAAUUGCAGUCCGUCUGCUUCUGCUGCUGUUUUUUUUGUUUUUUUUUCUUUCUGCGCCGCUUCUGCUGCUGUUUUUGGUGAUAAGAUAGCCUUUCGCUGGAGCCGAAAAUCAUAAAUUACAAAUCAUUACGCAGACGUCGGACUGACUACUGUCGGCAUCUUCAGUAAUAAGUGGACAACUGUGGACUCUCAUAAUGCAACGACGAUUUUUGACAUGUACAUGAAUUAGACGAGAGGACCCCAAAUGAGUUCGGCCAGUCCGAGAACAAACAGGAACAGAAAAUCCAUGGGGAAGCCAUAAAAAGGGUAGUAUAACGAUUAAUUUUUUCCACGUUGACAUUUUAGCUUAAUUGCACUUCAAUAAUCCCGAAAAAAUAAGAAAAAAAAAGAGAGGGCUUAAACAAGAACAGAUACAAGGCUAAAGCGAAAUGGCAAAAAUGCGUAAAAGGGCAUGAAAAGCGGCAGCCGACAGAGCAGAUACAAUUUUAAUCCCACGGACUUUUGCUGCAUAAGCACUGGCCGAGAAAAAAUCAGCAAAAAAAAAACAAAAAAAAAAUAAAAUAAAAAAGUAUCUUGAGGGCUUACCAAAGAGAGGGGAGUGCAGGGAAUCCGAGUCCGAAUCCGAGGCACGUUGUCAGCAGAAGCUGAAGCAGAAUCAAGCCAAGUUGCAAGUGGGCUGCGACCCCAAAAGCGGCCAACAGCAGUACCGCUAACAAAGUUGACAAGAAGUAAAAUGUCCGACGGACUAAUUGGCUUAAACGCUGGCAAAAUUUAUUUAAGCACAUUAGUGGGAUUUGGUUUUUGCCAUCGCCAUCGCCAACGUUUGCUUGUAUCCGUACAUGUUGUUUGUUUCUGUGUAUCUUUCGGUCUGUGCAUGAGUGUUGACCCGCCAUCGAUUCACUUGAUUCACUUGACCAGCUGGCUUUUGGUUCUUUCCACAUGACAAUAAGUAGAUUGACUAAAACUGAUUGAAGCACUUUCCGUUCUUUUGUGGCGUUCAUUAGUAAGAAAAAAGGUGCAUUAACUUGUGUAAAUUAUUUAUAAAGUUAAAAACAUCAUAAAGAAAUUCAAUUUUUAAGUUAUAAAAUUUACAAUUAAUAUAAUUCCUGUAGUGUACUGUGCAUUAUAAUAACCAAAAUCCGUGAUUUAUAGGAUUUUCCGAAAAAGAGGAAAACCCCAUUGAAUUCCCGGCCAAUCCAUUUUAAUUAACCCCAAAGCAAUUGUCACUUUUGCUGUGAAUCUGGGCAAGGCAUAAAUCAUUCAGCCCAAGAAUCCCCAACCAAAUUUUGAAGCCAUUAAGGCCCACCCCUUAACCCUCAGCCCAGAAAAUCCCGUCUCUAUUUUCCCCUCUUACGCAACUUUUUGUCACAUGCACAAAAUAUGCGGAUCUUACCUUUUUUAUUUAAUUAGCUAAUUUCGAGUGACCCCAGUAAUUGGUGGGGAUAUAAAUAAUUAAAGCGGCUGAUGGGUAGUGCAAAGUGCAAAUGUAUCUCACGGAUACGCAGCUGAGCUCGAUACAUUUUUAAUAAAGUCGAGAGGAGCGAGCGUUCUUAAAUUAUUCAAAAUGCUUUGCUGGUACCUCCAUCGUUCCCUGGUUUUUAGAAAUGUCGUUUCCAAUUUUACUCCAGCAUCCCCACAAAAUGGAUCUCCCCUACGCCCAAAAGUAGUUUCAUCUACGACCAGGAUACCCCAAAAAAAAAUACAAAAAACCAAAUAUACAAAAACAGCAACAAAUUUCUCACGCUGCUCGGAUGCGAAGAUUUAAAGAUUUGAGUUUCGAUUCCGAUUUCGACAACGAAUCCAUCUUUGAGUCUAUCUAUGUGGCUCGACCCCAAAGUCACUUUCUCCCGUUGUCUCUGUGUGUAUACAUUUCACACCCUCAAAAAUAGAAAUUAUCUUUGUGCAUUUACGCAAGUUUUUAAUGCUAUUAGUUCCAUCUUAACAUCUCGGGUCUUUUCAGAUACCAUCCUCCAUCCACCAUAACCAUCCCAUCCCAUCCUGAAUGCCAUCCGAAGUGAACCAAAUUGUCUGUUUCUGUUACCGUAUCUAUAUCUCUGGAUACAUCUCCGCUCUGUGUGUCCUGUGUGCCUUUUAUUUCAAUUCUAUUUUCUAUACACUCGCUCGCUGCGUUGCACUCAACAAGAGCGCUGGUCUGGACGCAAUUUUGUUGG
ensembl:ncRNA asRNA:CR44018 antisense RNA:CR44018